rnacentral:rRNA from 1 species
UACGUAGGGUGCGAGCGUUAAUCGGAAUUACUGGGCGUAAAGCGUGCGCAGGCGGUUCGCUAAGUCAGACGUGAAAGCCCCGGGCUUAACCUGGGAACGGCGUUUGAAACUGGCGGGCUGGAGUACGGCAGAGGGGGGUGGAAUUCCACGUGUAGCAGUGAAAUGCGUAGAUAUGUGGAGGAACACCGAUGGCGAAGGCAGCCCCCUGGGCCGAUACUGACGCUCAUGCACGAAAGCGUGGGGAGCAAACAGG